AGUUAAGCUACAAAGGGUAUACGGUGGAUGUUUUGGCGCAAAGAAGCGAUGAAAGACGUGGCAUGGCUGCGAUAAGCUCCGGGGAGUUGCUAAGCAAGCUUUGAUCCGGAGAUGUCUGAAUAGGGAAACCUGGCCUGCAUUAAGCAGGUCACUCUUGUCUGAAUACAUAGGGCAAGAGGGCUAACGGGGUGAACUGAAACAUCUAAGUAACCCCAGGAAAGAAAAGAAACCUCGACUUCCUCAGUAGCGGCGAGCGAAAUGGAAAGAGCCCAAACCGAGUUCAUGUAAGCCAGCAUGCGUUGUGAACUCGGGGUCGUGGGAGACAUCAGGCCACGAUGCUGUGUGGCCAGAGAGUUACAAAAAUCGUUCCUAGUUGAAUCACCUGGAAAGGUGAACCAUAGAAGGUGACAGUCCUGUAAGCGAAAGGUUCGAUUCUCUCGAUGUUUUCCCAAGUAGUGCCGGCCUCGUGAAAUCCGGUAUGAAUUUGGGGGGUCCACCCCCCAAGGCUAAGUAUUCCUUUGCGACCGAUAGCGUACCAGUAGGGCGACUGAAAAAUGAAAAGAACCCCUGUUAGGGGAGUGAAAUAGAACCUGAAACCGUGUACCUACAAGCUGUGGAAG
rnacentral:rRNA from 1 species